rnacentral:rRNA from 1 species
UCCGUACGAGCGCACCCCUUAUCCUUUGUUGCCAGCACGUAAUGGUGGGAACUCUAAGGAGACUGCCGGUGACAAACCGGAGGAAGGCGGGGACGAUGUCAAGUCAUCAUGGCCCUUACGAGUAGGGCUACACACGUGCUACAAUGGUUGGUACAAAGGGAAGCAAAGCGGUGACGUGGAGCAAAUCCCAAAAAGCCAAUCGCAGUCCGGAUUGAAGUCUGCAACUCGACUUCAUGAAGCUGGAAUCGCUAGUAAUCGCAGAUCAGAAUGCUGCGGUGAAUACGUCCUCGGGCCUUGUACACACCGCCCGUCAUACCACGGGAGUGGGUUGCACCAGAAGUAGGUAGGCUAACCGUAAGGAGGCCGCUUACCACGGUGUGAUUCAUGACUGGGGUAAAGUCGUAACAAGGUAGCCGUAGGGGAACCUGUGGCUGGAUCACCUCCUU